rnacentral:rRNA from 1 species
UACAGAGGGUGCAAGCGUUGUUCGGAAUUACUGGGCGUAAAGCGUGCGUAGUCGGUAUUGAGAGUCGCGGGUGAAAUCCCCAAGCUUAACUUGGGAACUGCCUGCGAGACCUCAGUACUAGAGUGUGAGAGGGGAUAGUGGAAUACCCAGUGUAGCGGUGAAAUGCGUAGAGAUUGGAUGGAACACCGGUGGCGAAGGCGGCUAUCUGGCUCACAACUGACGAUCAGGCACGAAAGCGUGGGGAGCAAACAGG